rnacentral:rRNA from 1 species
UACGGGGGGGGGCAAGCGUUGUUCGGAAUUACUGGGCGUAAAGGGCUCGUAGGCGGCCAACUAAGUCAGACGUGAAAUCCCUCGGCUUAACCGGGGGAACUGCGUCUGAUACUGGAUGGCUUGAGAUUGGGAGAGGGAUGCGGAAUUCCAGGUGUAGCGGUGAAAUGCGUAGAUAUCUGGAGGAACACCGGUGGCGAAGGCGGCAUCCUGGACCAACACUGACGCGUGAGGAGCGAAAGCCAGGGGAAGCAAACGGG